AUUGAACGCUGGCGACACGCCCUACACAUGCAAGUCGAACGGUAACAGGUCUUCGGAUGCUGACGAGUGGCGAACGGGUGAGUAAUACAUCGGAACGUGCCUAGUAGUGGGGGAUAACUACUCGAAAGAGUGGCUAAUACAGCAUGAGAUCUACGGAUGAAAGCAGGGGAUCGCAAGACCUUGUGCUACUAGAGCGGCCGAUGGCGGAUUAGGUAGUUGGUGGGAUAAAAGCUUACCAAGCCGACGAUCUGUAGCUGGUCUGAGAGGACGAUCAGCCACACUGGGACUGAGACACGGCCCAGACUCCUACGGGAGGCAGCAGUGGGGAAUUUUGGACAAUGGGCGCAAGCCUGAUCCAGCAAUGCCGCGUGCAGGAUGAAGGCCUUCGGGUUGUAAACUGCUUUUGUACGGAACGAAAAGCCCUGGGUUAAUACCCUGGGGUCAUGACGGUACCGUAAGAAUAAGCACCGGCUAACUACGUGCCAGCCGCCGCAGUAACAC
rnacentral:rRNA from 1 species